GAUGAACGCUGGCGGCGUGCCUAAUACAUGCAAGUCGAGCGGAAAGGCGCGGAGCUUGCUCCUCUGACGUUAGCGGCAGACGGGUGUGUAACACGUGGAUACCCUCCCUAUAAGUGGGGUAUAACUUCGGGACACCGGCUCUAAUCCCAGAUAAUAUAUUGAACCGCAGGGGUGAAUGGUGAAAUACGGUUGUGUUGGCAGUAGUAGCUGGAUUCGAGCCUUAUGAGCUGGUUGGUGAGGUAGCAGCUUACCAAGGCCAUGGUGGGUAGCCGGCCUGGGAGGGUGACCGGCCUCCUGGGGCCUGAGGGACGGCCCAGACUCCUACGGGCGGCAGCAGUGGGGAAUAUUGCGGAGUGGGCCGAAGCCUGAUGCGGAAACGCCGCGUGCGGGAUGACGGCUUUCUGGUGAUAAACCGCUUUCGCCUGAAACGAAGCGUGAGUGACGGUAAUGGGUCAGGAAGCACCGGCUAACUACGUG
rnacentral:rRNA from 1 species